AAAACUUGGGCACCCAUGGGUUGAACCCUUCAGCAAGGACAGGAAAGGAUACAUUGAAAUUGACCAACAACAAUAGACACUUUUAUUCAGAUCAAAUGACACGGCUUGUGCUUUAAUUAUUAUGCAUUAUUUCAGGUCAUGAUAUUGAAUGCAUCCAUGUUGGGAAAUUCUUCAAAACAAAAGCUCAUGCACUAAUGGCCUUUUAGCUUCAUGUGCUUUCAAUGCUUUGCAUAUUCCAGCUUAUGAAAGCUUCAGUUCAUGACUGUGAUCUGGGUUUCCUGCAAAGAUGAAGAAACUGGUUUCAGCCAGAUGUUUUAUGUUUUCAUUCAAAGCGAUAAACCAGUACAGCUCUUCCCUCCACUUCCCAAUUCAGCUGUUCAUUUAUCAGCAGAGAAAUAAGGUCCUUCAUCUACCUGUAAAUCAUUUCUUUCAGCAGUUAUUGAUCUGUUUUUAUGCAUUGAAGGUGGUGUAUAUUUGGUAUAUAUUGAUACUAAUGACUUCAGCUGUGAUUUUUGUAUAUAUUAGAUCCAUAUUUCAUUCACAGGAGUUGGAAACCAUUGUCUGUUUGGACUCGGCAUUAGAAUUGAAUGGCUUGGUAUACGACGAGCUAGUUUUGGUUGCCAUAUUUUAUUAUUAUUUUUAUAUUUUUUAUAAAAGUGUGUCUGGUUCAUAUUUCCUGAAAUACCCUAAAAUAAUAAUAAUAAAAAACACUUAUUGUACACUUACACAAGUAUCUGAACAAGCCAAUCAAAAAUGGUUAAUAAAUAUAUGUGGCCAAUCAAAUAAAUGGUUAAUAUUUUUGUUUCAUUGCCUUGGACUCAAAUUAUUUGGCCUUAUUUUGUUUGGCUUGGCAAGAUAAUAAUAAUAAUAAUAAUAAUAAUUUUGAUUGAUUAAUAUUGCUUAAUUUUCAUUGGAUUUGUCAGGUACUUAAAUGGUUAAAAAAAUUAUUUUGAUUGGCUUGGUCAGAUACUCAAAAAAAUCUAAAGUUAAGCAAAUUUAGUAUCUGAACAAGCCAAUCAAAAUGAAGCAAAAUGAUUUAAUAUUUGGUUUGUUUGUUUUUUGAGCAUCUGACUGGGCCUUUCUGAAUGUUUCUUCUUUUAUUGAGAACUGAAGUAUUUUGUAUCAGUUAUGGAAUCACAUUGCGGUUUUAAGGCGAGGCGGUAAAUGGCUGUCGUGUUUUAUUUUUGAAUGAGUUAAACUAGCACUUGAAGACUCCCUACAUGUGUGUCAUC
rnacentral:lncRNA from 1 species